CUUGGAUCUAAGAAAGACUAAUUCUUUUCCCGAAAAGAUGAACAUGAAGCAAAAUACAACAAGUAUAAUAGUAGCAGUAACGAUAUUAUUAGCAUGUGUAGUGCAAGCAAGAUAUACAGAUGAUGACUUAGAUCGGUUUGCCAAGAGAUCAUGGUCAGAUCAACGUAUAGCCGAUUAUCAAGCCAGACUGGCAUUAUACCAAGGACGACCUUUACUAACGCAUGGUCAGUUUGACACAAAUAAAAUUGGUAGAAGGAAAAGAGAUACCGGAAUACUCAGAACACUCAUAAACAAAAACAGACUUUUGCAAUAUUCUGAUGACAGCCAUUUAUGAUCUGAUAAAUUUGUGGAUUUAUCC